rnacentral:tRNA from 1 species
UCUUUCGUGGUGCAGUGGUUAAGGAUCCAGCAUUGUCACUGCUGUGGCUCAGGUUCAAUUCCUGGCCCAGGAA